UGAGCAAUCUGCCCUUCUCAUCGGAAUAAGCGUUGGAAACGACGUCUAAUGCCGAAUACGACCUCCUUUCGCAUGAUCGGAGGUUGAAAGCUCCGGCGGAGAAGGAUGAGCUCGCGGCCUAUCAGCUAGUUGGUGAGGUAAUGGCUCACCAAGGCGACGACGGGUAGCCGGCCUGAGAGGGUGACCGGCCACACUGGGACUGAGACACGGCCCAGACUCCGUAGGGAGG
rnacentral:rRNA from 1 species